AUCCAAGGAUGGGAAUCGAACCCACACUGUUCCGCUUACCGGGCAGAUGCCAUGUCCACUAGGCUACCCUGGA
rnacentral:tRNA from 1 species